GGGCAAUGGGCGCAAGCCUGACCCAGCAACGCCGCGUGAAGGAAGAAGGCUUUCGGGUUGUAAACUUCUUUUGACAGGGAAGAGUAGAAGACGGUACCUGUCGAAUAAGCCACGGCUAACUACGUGCC
rnacentral:rRNA from 1 species